UCCCUCUCUGCCUCUGUGGUGUUGUCUCUCUUCCGCUUCCCCAUUUCCAUCAUCAAAGCCUAACGGCAAUCCACCUGAAUCAGAGAAACUUCUGUUAAGAUUUUAAGAAAGCCUAAGACCCAGAAAGAGAACUCAGAGAGAUUAAGCAACAGAGAGAGAGAGAGAGAGAGAAGGAGAUCUGAACCCGUCAAUGGCUUCUGCUACAACAAGACCGACCUUCUCGUUCCACCUCCACUCUUCACACACUCAACCAUCACGCACGAGGCCAAAAACCCUUGUCAGCAUUCCCACUUUCCACUCCCAGAAACUCCUUGUUUCGCCCUCUUACAAUCCCCCAAGACUGCAAUUCACUUCAAAAUCCGUGGACGUCUCCAAAGAAGACAAACCCAUUUCUGGAGAACCGGAUUUAACGUCAGCUUCCGAUGAUACUCCAAUUCCAGAAACGGAGAAAUUCGAUAAGCGUCGUCUGGAAGAGCGGUUCGCAGUAUUAAACACCGGCAUCUACGAGUGUCGCUCUUGUGGUCACCGGUUCGAUGAGGCUGUCGGUGACCCAUCGUACCCAAUCCCUCCGGGACUGCAAUUCGAUAAAUUGCCCGAAGACUGGAGGUGCCCGACCUGCGGGGCGGCUAAGUCGUUCUUCGUAAGCAAAAGUGUGGAGAUAGCCGGUUUUGCUCAAAAUCAGCAGUUUGGGCUGGGCGGGAAUGCACUCACGUCUGGGCAGAAGGCGGUGCUUAUAUUUGGGAGCCUCUUCCUCAUCUUUCUGCUGUUCCUUUCUGGCUAUUUUCUGCAAUAAUCGUAAUUAAGGGGGAACAAGAGUUUGAAGAAGAUUCACUGUCAAUUGUUCGAUUCAGCUGGAACUGCCUCAGCAGCUGCUCAUAUGGUCACUGUUUGUAGAGAUCUUGUUCAACAAUUGAAUUCAAUUCAAGCUAGUCACACCUUGGAGAUGGAAAUACUGCAGCUCACAUCUUUUGCAAUUGUUUUUGAUGAUUCAUUUAAGGUACAUGGGGCUUUGUUUGGCUGAUUGUAUUGCAUCUGGCAUCUCUUCAGGGAUGGUAUGUAAUGGUUGGAUAGCUUCAAAGAUAUGUUGGACUGUGUUGCACUUGAUUAAAUUGCAUCUAUCAUCUCUGUGGAGAUGCUAUGUAAUAGGUUAUGACUGAUGUGAAUGGAAUUGCCUUUGCCUUUAGCCAAA